CUACAGGCUUAACACAUGCAAGUCGAGGGGCAGCAUGGUCUUAGCUUGCUAAGGCCGAUGGCGACCGGCGCACGGGUGAGUAACGCGUAUCCAACCUGCCUUACACUCUUGGACAGCCUUCUGAAAGGGAGAUUAAUACAAGAUGUUAUCAUGAGUAAGCAUUUUCGCAUGAUUAAAGGUUUACCGGUGUAAGAUGGGGAUGCGUUCCAUUAGAUAGUAGGCGGGGUAACGGCCCACCUAGUCUUCGAUGGAUAGGGGUUCUGAGAGGAAGGUCCCCCACAUUGGAACUGAGACACGGUCCAAACUCCUACGGGAGGCAGCAGUGAGGAAUAUUGGUCAAUGGACGAGAGUCUGAACCAGCCAAGUAGCGUGAAGGAUGAAGGUUCUAUGGAUUGUAAACUUCUUUUAUACGGGAAUAAACGGAUCCACGUGUGGAUUUUUGCAUGUACCGUAUGAAUAAGGAUCGGCUAACUCCGUGCCAGCAGCCGCGGUAAUACGGAGGAUCCGAGCGUUAUCCGGAUUUAUUGGGUUUAAAGGGAGCGUAGAUGGGUUGUUAAGUCAGUUGUGAAAGUUUGCGGCUCAACCGUAAAGUUGCAAUUGAUACUGGCAGUCUUGAGUACAGUUGAGGUAGGCGGAAUUCGUGGUGUAGCGGUGAAAUGCUUAGAUAUCACGAAGAACUCCGAUUGCGAAGGCAGCUUACUAACCUGUAACUGACAUUGAUGCUCGAAAGUGUGGGUAUCAAACAGGAUUAGAUACCCUGGUAGUCCACACGGUAAACGAUGAAUACUCGCUGUAGGCGAUAUACAGUCUGCGGCCAAGCGAAAGCAUUAAGUAUUCCACCUGGGGAGUACGCCGGCAACGGUGAAACUCAAAGGAAUUGACGGGGGCCCGCACAAGCGGAGGAACAUGUGGUUUAAUUCGAUGAUACGCGAGGAACCUUACCCGGGCUUAAAUUGCAACCGAAUAUGGCGGAAACGCUAUAGCUAGCAAUAGCGGUUGUGAAGGUGCUGCAUGGUUGUCGUCAGCUCGUGCCGUGAGGUGUCGGCUUAAGUGCCAUAACGAGCGCAACCCUUGCCGAUAGUUACUAACAGGUUAUGCUGAGGACUCUGUCGGGACUGCCAUCGUAAGAUGUGAGGAAGGUGGGGAUGACGUCAAAUCAGCACGGCCCUUACGUCCGGGGCUACACACGUGUUACAAUGGGGGGUACAGAGGGCUGCUACCACGCAAGUGGAUGCCAAUCCCAAAAACCUCUCUCAGUUCGGAUUGAAGUCUGCAACCCGACUUCAUGAAGCUGGAUUCGCUAGUAAUCGCGCAUCAGCCACGGCGCGGUGAAUACGUUCCCGGGCCUUGUACACACCGCCCGUCAAGCCAUGGGAGCCGGGGGUACCUGAAGUGCGUAACCGCAAGGAGCGCCCUAGGGUAAAACUGGUGACUGGGGCUAAGUCGU
rnacentral:rRNA from 1 species